UCAGUGGGUGGACAUCUGGCUUCUGAUGCAGAAGGUUAAAGUUUCAGGUACCUUUUCAGGCACUCAAAAAUCCGGAAAACAUUGCUAAUGCCAGCACAGGAGGAACAACAUACCUUUCAGGAUGUGGGUAUCACUUGUCUGGGCAGCAUCUACAUCCCAGGGGAGAAUCAAACAUUUUUCCAAGGGUCUGGUGUUCACGUGCUGGCCAGCUGAGAUAAGUACGGCAGACCUCCCUUCGCAAAACGUCAUCAAUGAACGAGCUGGAUUAUCCAACAAGUGGCAAUGGAUUGUGUUGGCUAAAUAUUUAUUCAGGGACAUCAAGAUCUAGGAAUCAAAAUAGGGUGUAGGGGAUUCAGCCCUUCGAUUAUUUAUAUGUGAGUACCGGAAUCAGCCCCA